rnacentral:sRNA from 14 species
UUGACAGCCCUGGGAGACUGGAAGCCCUCUGUUUAUCCCAAGUACACGUACAGCACAACUAGUAAAAAUGCAACUUUCUACGAGCUACCCAGCCAAUGUAUUUCAGCCCUGAUCUACAUGGCCAGGGAAACAUUCAGGACUCUAGAGGUUAUUUUAGUUAUCUAGGCUAUGUGGUUCUUUGUCUUUG